GGGCUGAUGGUGAAAAGGCAUCAUUUCUGCCUUGCAAGCAGAAGUUCAGGGUUCGAGUCCCUGUCGGUCCACCG
rnacentral:tRNA from 1 species